rnacentral:rRNA from 1 species
GACGAACCGGACAAACGUUAUUCGGAAUUACUGGGCUUAAAGGGUUUGUAGGCGGCCUUGUAAGUCAGGUGUGAAAUCCCUCGGCUCAACCGAGGAAUAGCGCUUGAUACUGCAAGGCUUGAGGGAGACAGGGGUAAGCGGAACUGAUGGUGGGAGCGGUGAAAUGCGUUGAUAUCAUCAGGAACACCGGUGGCGAAAGCGGCUUACUGGGUCUCUUCUGACGCUGAGGAACGAAAGCUAGGGGAGCGAACGGG